AGUUGCAGGAGGGGGUUUGCGCCGGGUGGAGCUUGCGUGAGGAGCGCUUUUGGAUCGUCCUCCGUGAGUUGGGCGCCAUGGCUGCCUUCUGGGCAGAGUGCAGGGCCUGCCUUAAAUGUUGUGGGGGUUCUGUUCUCAACAAAGGCGUAAGUUGGGAGCGACUGAGCCACUCCAGGAGGAGGUGUGGGCCCACGGCGUGUUGGAGGUGGAGCCACAGGACCUGUCCAUAGGAUGGAAAACCCAAGCAGCAGCUGCACCAGGACCGAGGCAAAGGGACCGCAGUUUAACAGAAAACCCAAAACGAGAGCGAGAAAACGGCCAAACACCCGUGCGAGUGAGACGUCCAUGAGCC
rnacentral:lncRNA from 1 species